rnacentral:rRNA from 1 species
CUGUUCGCCGGUUAAAGAGGUACGUGAGCUGGGUUCAGAACGUCGUGAGACAGUUCGGUUUAUAUCCGCUGUGGACGCAAGGAAAUUUGAGAAGAUUUGACCCUAGUACGAGAGGACCGGGUUGAACGAACCUCUGGUGUACCAAUUGUCCUACCAAGGGCAUGGUUGGGUAGCUAAGUUCGGUAUAGAUAAGCGCUGAAAGCAUAUUAAGCGCGAAACUGACUUCAAGAUUAGAUUUCCCUAUGAGAUCCCUGAAAGACUAUCAGGUUGAUAGGCGCAAGGUGGAAGUGCGGCAACGCAUGCAGCCAAAGCGUACUAAUAGAUCCAUCGACUUUUUAUG